UGCGGAAGGAUCAUUACCGAGUUUUCGAGCUUCGGCUCGACUCUCCCACCCUUUGUGAACGUACCUCUGUUGCUUUGGCGGCUCCGGCCGCCAAAGGACCUUCAAACUCCAGUCAGUAAACGCAGACGUCUGAUAAACAAGUUAAUAAACUAAAACUUUCAACAACGGAUCUCUUGGUUCUGGCAUCGAUGAAGAACGCAGCGAAAUGCGAUAAGUAAUGUGAAUUGCAGAAUUCAGUGAAUCAUCGAAUCUUUGAACGCACAUUGCGCCCCUUGGUAUUCCGGGGGGCAUGCCUGUUCGAGCGUCAUUACAACCCUCAAGCUCUGCUUGGAAUUGGGCACCGUCCUCACUGCGGACGCGCCUCAAAGACCUCGGCGGUGGCUGUUCAGCCCUCAAGCGUAGUAGAAUACACCUCGCUUUGGAGCGGUUGGCGUCGCCCGCCGGACGAACCUUCUGAACUUUUCUCAAGGUUGACCUCGGAUCAGGUAGGGAUACCCGCUGA
rnacentral:rRNA from 1 species